CCUGUCGGACGGACGGUCGCUGCGCGCCUUUUGGCGCGGGGAGGAAAGUCCGGUCUCCACAGGGCGGCGCGCCGGCUAACGGCCGGGGGGCGGCUCUCAAAGGGCCGUUCACGGAAAGUGGCACAGAAAACGUACCGCCGCGGCCUCUUUUGGAGGCGGCGGUAAGGGUGAAAAGGUGCGGUAAGAGCGCACCGCGUCCGGGGCGACCCGGAUGGCAGGCUAAACCCCGCGCGGAGCAAGACCAAAUAGGGGGCGAUGCGGCGGCCCGCCGCGCUCGAGUCCCGGGUAGGUUGCUAGCGAAGGCGCUGGAAACGGCGUCUCUAGAGGAAUGACCGUCGCCGUGUCCCUCACCGGACGCGGAACAGGAACCGGCUUACAGGCCGGCAGGCUCC
rnacentral:RNase_P_RNA from 1 species